rnacentral:rRNA from 1 species
ACCGGGAUUGCCUCAGUAACGGCGAGUGAAGCGGCAAGAGCUCAAAUUUGAAAUCUGGCCUCCUGGGUGGGGGUCCGAGUUGUAAUUUGGAGAGGAUGCUUCGGGCCUGGCUCCCAUCUAAGUGCCCUGGAACGGGUCGUCAGAGAGGGUGAGAAUCCCGUCUGGGAUGGGUGAUCGGGUCUGUGUGAAGCUCCUUCGACGAGUCGAGUUGUUUGGGAAUGCAGCUCUAAGUGGGUGGUAAAUUUCAUCUAAAGCUAAAUACUGGCCGGAGACCGAUAGCGCACAAGUAGAGUGAUCGAAAGAUGAAAAGCACUUUGAAAAGAGAGUUAAAGAGCAUGUGAAAUUGUUGAAAGGGAAGCGCUUGCGACCAGACUCAUGUGGGGGGUUCAGCCGGCACUUGUGCCGGUGCAUUCCCCCCGGCGUGGGCCAGCGUCGGUUUGGAGGGUCGCUGAAAGGCCCCUGGAAUGUAUCGCCCUUCGGGGCGUCUUAUAGCCAGGGGUGCCAUGCGGCCCGUUGGACCGAGGAACGCGCUCCGGCUCGGACGCUGGCGUAAUGGUCGCAAGCGGCCCGUCUUGAAACACGGACCAAGGAGUCUAACAUCUACGCGAGUGUUCGGGUGUCAAACCCGUCCGCGCAGUGAAAGCGAACGGAGGUGGGAGCCCUCUGGGUGCACCAUCGACCGAUCCUGAUGUCUUCGGAUGGAUUUGAGUAGGAGCGUAGCUGUUGGGACCCGAAAGAUGGUGAACUAUGCCUGAAUAGGGUGAAGCCAGAGGAAACUCUGGUGGAGGCUCGCAGCGGUUCUGACGUGCAAAUCGAUCGUCAAAUUUGGGUAUAGGGGCGAAAGACUAAUCGAACCAUCUGGUAGCUGGUUCCUGCCGAAGUUUCCCUCAGGAUAGCAGUAACGAGAUCAGUUUUAUGAGGUAAAGCGAAUGAUUAGAGGCCUUGGGGUUGAAACAACCUUAACCUAUUCUCAAACUUUAAAUAUGUAAGAAGCCCUUGUUGCUUAGUUGAACGUGGGCGUUAGAAUGGAUCGUUACUAGUGGGCCAUUUUUGGUAAGCAGAACUGGCGAUGCGGGAUGAACCGAACGCGAGGUUAAGGUGCCGGAAUGCACGCUCAUCAGACACCACAAAAGGUGUUAGUUCAUCCAGACAGCCCGACGGUGGCCAUGGAAGUCGGAACCCGCUAAGGAGUGUGUAACAACUCACGGGCCGAAUGAACUAGCCCUGAAAAUGGAUGGCGCUCAAGCGUGCUACCGAUCCCUCGCCGUCGGGGUAGAAACGAUGCCCCGACGAGUAGGCAGGCGUGGGGGUCCGUGA